rnacentral:rRNA from 1 species
UACGGAGGGUGCAAGCGUUAUCCGGAUUUACUGGGUUUAAAGGGUGCGUAGGUGGGUUGAUAAGUCAGUGGUGAAAUCCCCGAGCUUAACUUGGGAACUGCCAUUGAUACUAUUGAUCUUGAAUACCGUGGAGGUCAGCGGAAUAUGUCAUGUAGCGGUGAAAUGCUUAGAUAUGACAUAGAACACCAAUUGCGAAGGCAGCUGGCUACGCGAAUAUUGACACUGAUGCACGAAAGCGUGGGGAUCAAACAGG